UAGAUUGGUGCAAAAGUAAUUGUGGUUCUUGCCAUUAAAAGUAAUGGUAAAAACUGCAAUUAUUUUUGCACCAACAUAA
ensembl:miRNA